rnacentral:lncRNA from 1 species
AUCGCCGUUUCCUCCCUUCAGAAAUCGUGCAUGUUAUCCACCGACCCGCCGCCGUUGCUCACCUUGAAGAACCUCAUUGUCGCACGCCUCGGAGAACCGUCACCGUGAAGACUCAAUGCCGCCAAAAGCCGCAGUCGUUCCCCGAAUGAUUCGUCGUCGUUCCAAAAUUCAAGCGUCGCCAACCAAUAGUUUGGGUGAUGUCUUACAUUCUCCUACUCGUCGCAGACUUGGAUCUGAUUCUCUUUGAUGAAACGAUUUCGGCCGAACCAACAUGCACUAAUCGGGAUCGAAUAAAAAGG